CAGGAAUUGUGAAAAACUGAGUUCAAAUGUAUUUGGCUAAGGUGUAUGGUAACUUCCGACUUCAACUGUACAUAGGUAUUCCAACAAUUUGGCUAUGAUUUGUAUAGCAAAAACACUAUAUCAUUAUUUGAAGUUAUAUUUUUUUGCUAGUUUGUAAGUGGAAUAUUUACCUCUUGAUAUGUAGGGUAGACCUGGCAUUGAUGGAAAGAGAGGUCUGGCUGGAAAAGAUGUGAGCAUUUUUUUCUCUUUGUCAAAUAAUUUUGUAUUUUUUUUAAUGUUCCUGCUCUGUUCCAGCAUUUUAAUGAGAUCACUUAAAAAAUACCCACAAAUACCCCAAAAUGAAGUCCUCCUAAUUCUUCUCUUGAGACAGGGAGAGCAAGGACAAAGAGGAGAUGAUGGCAAAAAGGUAUGAUUUGGAGCAAGUCUGGCUAUUCCCCAAACACACCAACACAAUAAACCAUAUUUGUGAUUUUGCAUCUCUAACCCUAGGGUGAUACAGGUGAAUCGGGAGCUGAGGGUAAAAAAGGGGAAUUGGGUGCUCCGGGCCCACCUGGUACCCAUGUUCUGGUCACUCAACAAGAGGGUGCCACCCUUGAAGAGAUGAGACAGGCAUUCCCUUUGCCAAUGGGACCUCCUGGGGCUAAAGGUCCACCAGGGAUGAAGGGUGACGCUGGUCUUCCAGGGAAAGCAGCUGACAUGAAGAACAUUGAAGUAAUGUUUGAAGACUAUGGCAUAAGGCUGCCCUUGCUGAAGGCACUGAUUGACAGGCUGCUGCAGGACGGCAUGGAGGAGCUUCUGCAGGAGCUAACCACCUCUAGAAGAGUCAAUGAGAAGGAGAAACACGGCUCCAACAUUAUCACUGACUACACAGUAUGUACACAGUCCAUGCAUAUCUCUUCAACCCUAAUCACACCAGGGGACAUACCUGGUCAUUUAGUGGGUUAUUCCUGGGAGAAGUUCAAUACGGACAAUUGA
rnacentral:lncRNA from 13 species